rnacentral:rRNA from 1 species
UACGUAGGGUGCAAGCGUUAAUCGGAAUUACUGGGCGUAAAGCGUGCGCAGGCGGUUUUGUAAGUCUGUCGUGAAAGCCCCGGGCUCAACCUGGGAAUUGCGAUGGAGACUGCAAGGCUUGAAUCUGGCAGAGGGGGGUAGAAUUCCACGUGUAGCAGUGAAAUGCGUAGAGAUGUGGAGGAACACCGAUGGCGAAGGCAGCCCCCUGGGUCAAGAU